UUGACCCAUAUCCUAAGGGGUAGGAUCAUGCUUGAAAGCUUAGAAAACAUCGUUUCUCAGUUCCCACCCUUCACUCUCGCACAGCCUUCUGUGGGCAAUGGGGUUGAACAGGGAGGUCUAGCACACUUUCCCGGGUGGUGCGGGAGUUGCCUGGGGCAGCAUUCUUCAGACUCUGAAGGUUACAGCCUAUGUGAUUUAUUGUUUUAUUUUUCUUUCUUUCUAACUCCUUUUCCAGCGGGGCAAAGAACUGUAAGCAGAGACAAAAUGAAAGCCCUCUAGGCCCACAAUUGAUUCUAACGGCUGUGAGGGAAUGAGCUUCAACUACUGUUGAUGGGAGGGACUGUGUGCCAGGCACUGUGCUAGGGACUCUCAUGCAUGAUCUCAUUCAUCUUCUGCAUAACCCAAUGAGGUAUGAUCUACUAUCAAGUGUCUACAUUUGUAUUGGAUUGGUAUGUGUGCCCAACAAAGAAAGUGUCAUUUUUCCUUGGGAAUGAAAUCACAUCAUUUGUGAAGACUUAGUAGAGGCUAAAUGAGUACAAGCAGCAUUUACCUUAUUAAACAGAUAUUUUCAACAUUUAAAACAGUCUGACCAUCAAUGAUGAUGUUCAAAAACAUCUCAAGAUGUUUUAGAGCUAAAGCAAAUGAGAAAAUAUAGUAAAGGGCUGAUUCCUGUGGAUAUUCUGCAAAGGAAAGUAACAUGGUGGAGUGGAAGUGGGAUAAGGUUUGAAGCCAAAAGACCUGGUGGGCUUAAGGUCUCCAUUUAUUGGUUGUGUGACCUUGGAUAAGCCACUUCACCUCCUGGUGAGACUUGGGCAAAAUGGAGAUCAUAUUAAUCACCUCACAGUUUGUUACGCAUUGAGUAAAUGCACAUGUAAGCAUUAUUGACUGUAAAUGAUUAUGCAUAUUUUAAUUAUGGUAUAUCCAAGCCUGAUUUUUCAUCCAGUGCUUACAGUGCCCUGGGCAUAAUACUCAUUCAAUAAACAUUUGUUUGAUGAUAGAGUAAUAAAUGAAUAUGUGAUGCAGAAGUUUUAAAAAUA